rnacentral:rRNA from 1 species
UUAAGCGACUAAGCGUACACGGUGGAUGCCCUGGCAGUCAGAGGCGAUGAAGGACGUGCUAAUCUGCGAAAAGCGUCGGUAAGGUGAUAUGAACCGUUAUAGCCGGCGAUGUCCGAAUGGGGAAACCCAGUGCAAUUCGUUGCACUAUCGUUAACUGAAUACAUAGGUUAACGAGGCGAACCGGGGGAACUGAAACAUCUAAGUACCCCGAGGAAAAGAAAUCAACCGAGAUUCCCCCAGUAGCGGCGAGCGAACGGGGAGCAGCCCAGAGUCUGAAUCAGCUUGUGUGUUAGUGGAACGGUCUGGAAAGUCCGACGGUACAGGGUGAUAGUCCCGUACACCAAAAUGCACAGGCUGUGAACUCGAAGAGUAGGGCGGGACACGUGGUAUCCUGUCUGAAUAUGGGGGGACCAUCCUCCAAGGCUAAAUACUCCUGACUGACCGAUAGUGAACCAGUACCGUGAGGGAAAGGCGAAAAGAACCCCGGCGAGGGGAGUGAAAAAGAACCUGAAACCGUGUACGUACAAGCAGUGGGAGCACCUUCGGGUGUGACUGCGUACCUUUUGUAUAAUGGGUCAGCGACUUAUAUUCUGUAGCAAGGUUAACCGUAUAGGGGAGCCGCAGGGAAACCGAGUCUUAACUGGGCGUUAAGUUGCAGGGUAUAGACCCGAAACCCGGUGAUCUAGCCAUGGGCAGGUUGAAGGUUGGGUAACACUAACUGGAGGACCGAACCGACUAAUGUUGAAAAAUUAGCGGAUGACUUGUGGCUGGGGGUGAAAGGCCAAUCAAACCGGGAGAUAGCUGGUUCUCCCCGAAAGCUAUUUAGGUAGCGCCUCGUGAACUCAUCUUCGGGGGUAGAGCACUGUUUCGGCUAGGGGGUCAUCCCGACUUACCAACCCGAUGCAAACUACGAAUACCGAAGAAUGUUAUCACGGGAGACACACGGCGGGUGCUAACGUCCGUCGUGAAGAGGGAAACAACCCAGACCGCCAGCUAAGGUCCCAAAGUCAUGGUUAAGUGGGAAACGAUGUGGGAAGGCACAGACAGCCAGGAUGUUGGCUUAGAAGCAGCCAUCAUUUAAAGAAAGCGUAAUAGCUCACUGGUCGAGUCGGCCUGCGCGGAAGAUGUAACGGGGCUAAACCAUGCACCGAAGCUGCGGCAGCGACACUAUGUGUUGUUGGGUAGGGGAGCGUUCUGUAAGCCUGCGAAGGUGUGCUGUGAGGCAUGCUGGAGGUAUCAGAAGUGCGAAUGCUGACAUAAGUAACGAUAAAGCGGGUGAAAAGCCCGCUCGCCGGAAGACCAAGGGUUCCUGUCCAACGUUAAUCGGGGCAGGGUGAGUCGACCCCUAAGGCGAGGCCGAAAGGCGUAGUCGAUGGGAAACAGGUUAAUAUUCCUGUACUUGGUGUUACUGCGAAGGGGGGACGGAGAAGGCUAUGUUAGCCGGGCGACGGUUGUCCCGGUUUAAGCAUGUAGGCUGGUUAUCCAGGCAAAUCCGGAUAAUCAAGGCUGAGGUGUGAUGACGAGGCACUACGGUGCUGAAGUAACAAAUGCCCUGCUUCCAGGAAAAGCCUCUAAGCAUCAGGUAACAUCAAAUCGUACCCCAAACCGACACAGGUGGUCAGGUAGAGAAUACCAAGGCGCUUGAGAGAACUCGGGUGAAGGAACUAGGCAAAAUGGUGCCGUAACUUCGGGAGAAGGCACGCUGGUGUGUAGGUGAAGUCCCUGCGGAUGGAGCUGAGACCAGUCGAAGAUACCAGCUGGCUGCAACUGUUUAUUAAAAACACAGCACUGUGCAAACACGAAAGUGGACGUAUACGGUGUGACGCCUGCCCGGUGCCGGAAGGUUAAUUGAUGGGGUUAUCCGUAAGGAGAAGCUCUUGAUCGAAGCCCCGGUAAACGGCGGCCGUAACUAUAACGGUCCUAAGGUAGCGAAAUUCCUUGUCGGGUAAGUUCCGACCUGCACGAAUGGCGUAAUGAUGGCCAGGCUGUCUCCACCCGAGACUCAGUGAAAUUGAACUCGCUGUGAAGAUGCAGUGUACCCGCGGCAAGACGGAAAGACCCCGUGAACCUUUACUAUAGCUUGACACUGAACAUUGAGCCUUGAUGUGUAGGAUAGGUGGGAGGCUUUGAAGCGUGGACGCCAGUCUGCGUGGAGCCAACCUUGAAAUACCACCCUUUAAUGUUUGAUGUUCUAACGUUGGCCCCUUACCGGGGUUGCGGACAGUGUCUGGUGGGUAGUUUGACUGGGGCGGUCUCCUCCCAAAGCGUAACGGAGGAGCACGAAGGUUAGCUAAUCCUGGUCGGACAUCAGGAGGUUAGUGCAAUGGCAUAAGCUAGCUUGACUGCGAGCGUGACGGCGCGAGCAGGUGCGAAAGCAGGUCAUAGUGAUCCGGUGGUUCUGAAUGGAAGGGCCAUCGCUCAACGGAUAAAAGGUACUCCGGGGAUAACAGGCUGAUACCGCCCAAGAGUUCAUAUCGACGGCGGUGUUUGGCACCUCGAUGUCGGCUCAUCACAUCCUGGGGCUGAAGUAGGUCCCAAGGGUAUGGCUGUUCGCCAUUUAAAGUGGUACGCGAGCUGGGUUUAGAACGUCGUGAGACAGUUCGGUCCCUAUCUGCCGUGGGCGCUGGAGAAUUGAGGGGGGCUGCUCCUAGUACGAGAGGACCGGAGUGGACGCAUCACUGGUGUUCGGGUUGUCAUGCCAAUGGCACUGCCCGGUAGCUAAAUGCGGAAGAGAUAAGUGCUGAAAGCAUCUAAGCACGAAACUUGCCCCGAGAUGAGUUCUCCCUGAGACUUUAAGUCUCCUGAAGGAACGUUGAAGACGACGACGUUGAUAGGCCGGGUGUGUAAGCGCAGCGAUGCGUUGAGCUAACCGGUACUAAUGAACCGUGAGGCUUAACCUU